AUGCAUAAAAGAAUUUUUAACACUUAAAACUAGCAAACCAGAACUCAAACCCUAGAAUCAUUUUGUAGACUCCAAUCAAACCAUUCAAGCAUGCAAUAGGAUAGAAAUUAUACUUCUUAAAGAAGAUAAUCAGAUGGCAAAAUCAUCUCCACAAGGCUCCAAAGUAGAAGCCCUCCAAUGGUGAUCAAUGAAAGAUGAUCAAGGUCC
rnacentral:lncRNA from 1 species